rnacentral:sRNA from 1 species
AUCUAGCCCCGAUAGAAGUGAAAAUCCUUUUAUGCCGGUGUUCGGCAUAAAAGAUUGUAACGAAUAGCGGGACAAAAG